rnacentral:rRNA from 1 species
GUGGAGGGAGCCGUCGAAGGCGGGAUCGGCGAUUGGGACGAAGUCGUAACAAGGUAGCCGUACCGGAAGGUGCGGCUGGAUCACCUCCUUUCU